GAUUAAUACCCGAUAGCAUAAUGAUUCCGCAUGGUUUCAUUAUUAAAGGAUUCCGGUAAAGGAUGGGGAUGCGUUCCAUUAGGUUGUUGGUGGGGUAACGGCCCACCAAGCCUUCGAUGGAUAGGGGUUCUGAGAGGAAGGUCCCCCCACAUUGGAACUGAGACACGGUCCAAACUCCUACGGGAGGCAGCAUG
rnacentral:rRNA from 1 species